GUGCUCAGUUAGGCAGCAUAUAUUCUGAAGUUGGAACAAUACAGAGAAGACUAGCAUGACCACUUUGAUAGAAUGACUUACAAAUUCUAAAGUAUUUUUUUUUCUUU